rnacentral:ncRNA from 1 species
AGACACAACGGGCAAACCUCGGGAAACCGGGGGACGCAAAGCCAUGGGCCUACGGCGUUCAAGCUAUGGUUGCCAGGUUGCUAAU